rnacentral:rRNA from 1 species
CCUACGGGAGGCAGCAGUGGGGAAUCUUGCGCAAUGGGCGAAAGCCUGACGCAGCAACGCCGCGUGCGGGAAGAAGGCCCUAGGGUUGUAAACCGCUUUCAGUAGGAACGAAAAUGACGGUACCUGCAGAAGAAGGUGCGGCCAACUACGUGCCAGCAGCCGCGGUGACACGUAGGCACCAAGCGUUGUCCGGAUUUAUUGGGCGUAAAGAGCUCGUAGGCGGUUCAGUAAGUCGGGUGUGAAAACUCUGGGCUUAACCCAGAGCCGCCACUCGAUACUGCUGUGACUUGAGUUCGGUAGGGGAGCAGGGAAUUCCUAGUGUAGCGGUGAAAUGCGCAGAUAUUAGGAGGAACACCGGUGGCGAAGGCGCUGCUCUGGGCCGAUACUGACGCUGAGGAGCGAAAGCGUGGGUAGCAAACAGGAUUAGAUACCCUGGUAGUCCACGCCGUAAACGUUGGGCACUAGGUGUGGGUUCCAACCAACGGAAUCCGCGCCGUCGCUAACGCAUUAAGUGCCCGCCUGGGGAGUACGGCGGCAACGCUAAAACCUUAAGGAAUUGACGGCUGNGACGNGCGAGCGACGACGAGGGAGAGG